GAUGAACGCUGGCGGCGUGCCUAAUACAUGCAAGUCGAGCGAACAGAUGAGGAGCUUGCUCCUCUGACGGUAGCGGCGGACGGGCGAGUAACACGUGGAUAACCUACUUAUAAGACUGGGAUAACUUCGGGAAACAGGAGCUAAUACUGGAGAAUAUAUUGAACCGCAUGGUGCAAUAGUGAAAGACGGUUUUGCUGUCACUUAGAGAUGGAUCCGCGUCGCAUUAGCUAGUUGGUAAGGUAACGGCUUACCAAGGCAACGAUGCGUAGCUGAGCUGAGAGGAUGAUCAGCCACACUGGAACUGAGACACGGUCCAGACUCCUACGGGAGGCAGCAGUGGGGAAUAUUGCGCAAUGGGCGAAAGCCUGACCGAGCCACACCGCGUGAGUGAUGAAGGUCUUCGGAUCGUAAAGCUCUGUUAUUAGGAAAGAACAAAUGUGUAAGUAACCAUGCACGUCUUGACGGUACCCAAUCAGAAAGCCACGGCUAACUACGUG
rnacentral:rRNA from 1 species